rnacentral:rRNA from 1 species
AUGGAUCCCGUGCCAGCAGGCCGGCCUUCUACUCCAGAUCCCGGCCAGCCCGCGGUCCUCUCCGGCGACCUCCACUCUGCACUCCACCUCGAAGGAGCGGGAGCCUGUGGCCCACGCUCGACCAGUGUUCCCCCGUCGACGACCCUGUGGCACCCCGGCGGCCAAGUGUUCACCUGCGCUCGCCGUGGAUGCCCCUCGGCCCCUGGUGCAUCUCUUCCCUCAUCUCUCAGGCCGUGUCCUGCAUUUCGAUUCGGUGUGCGUCGCUGUCCUCUGGCGGGCGCGCGUGCAGUGCACUUAGCGGCGAUGCUCUUGUUCUAG